AAAGGGCACUCUGAUGGGACUGCCGGUGGACAAACCGGAGGAAGGUGGGGAUGACGUCAAGUCCUCAUGGCCCUUAUAGGUGGGGCUACACACGUCAUACAAUGGCCGGUACAAAGGGCAGCAACCGCAGGGGGAGCCAAUCCCAUAAAGCCGGUCGUAGUCCGGAUCGCAGUCUGCAACUCGACUGCGUGAAGUCGGAAUCGCUAGUAAUCGUGGAUCAGCAUGUCACGGUGAAUACGUUCCCGGGUCUU
rnacentral:rRNA from 1 species